AGUUGGUUCACCCUCCAGGUACAACUCAUCCAGAUUUUCCAGGCUGUUUUGCUUGCGGAGACCCCUUGCCGAACUCUUCCCGACUGGGCAACGAUUUUCCAGUUUCGCUAUCGCUGUAGCUUCAGCAGGGAAAGAGAUCGACUUCUAGCCGGUAAGGGGUUUUAAGAGAGAAGUUGGAGGAUGGAG